UACGGAGGGUGCGAGCGUUGUCCGGAAUCAUUGGGCGUAAAGGGCGCGUAGGUGGCCCCUCAAGCGUGCGGUGAAAGUCAGGGGCUCAACCCCUGAUCGGCCGUGCGAACUGGGGAGCUUGAGCACUGUAGAGGCAGGCGGAAUUCCGGGUGUAGCGGUGGAAUGCGUAGAGAUCCGGAAGAACACCAGUGGCGAAGGCGGCUACCUGGGCAUUCUUGACGCUGAGGCGCGAAAGCUCGGGGAGCAAACAGG
rnacentral:rRNA from 1 species